AUUGAACGCUGGCGGCAUGCCUUACACAUGCAAGUCGAACGGCAGCGGACCUUCGGGUGCUGACGAGUGGCGAACGGGUGAGUAAUGCAUCGGAACGUGCCCAAUCGUGGGGGAUAACGUAGCGAAAGUUACGCUAAUACCGCAUAAGCCCUGAGGGGGAAAGUGGGGGACCGCAAGGCCUCACGCGAAUGGAGCGGCCGAUGUCAGAUUAGCUAGUUGGUGGGGUAAAGGCUCACCAAGGCGACGAUCUGUAGCGGGUCUGAGAGGAUGAUCCGCCACACUGGGACUGAGACACGGCCCAGACUCCUACGGGAGGCAGCAGUGGGGAAUUUUGGACAAUGGGCGCAAGCCUGAUCCAGCCAUGCCGCGUGCGGGACGAAGGCCUCGGUUGUAACGCUUCAGCCGGAAGAAUACGCUGUUUUAAUUACUAGACGGUGGAUGAC
rnacentral:rRNA from 1 species